GCUGGGCAUGGUGGCAUGUGUCUGUAGUCCUAUCUACUUGGGAGGCUGAGGCAGGAGAAUCGCUUGAGUCCAGGAGUUUGAGGCUGCAGUGAGCUAUGAUUGCACCACUGCACUCCAGCCUGGGUGACAGAGCAAGACCCUGUCUCUA
rnacentral:sRNA from 1 species